rnacentral:rRNA from 1 species
AGUGAACGCUGGCGGUAGGCCUAACACAUGCAAGUCGAACGGCAGCACAGUAAGAGCUUGCUCUUACGGGUGGCGAGUGGCGGACGGGUGAGGAAUACAUCGGAAUCUACUUUUUCGUGGGGGAUAACGUAGGGAAACUUACGCUAAUACCGCAUACGACCUACGGGUGAAAGCAGUGGAUCUUCGGACCUUGCGCGAUUGAAUGCGCCGAUGUCGGAUUAGCUAGUUGGCGGGGUAAAGGCCCACCAAGGCGACGAUCCGUAGCUGGUCUGAGAGGAUGAUAAGCCACACUGGAACUGAGACACGGUCCAGACUCCUGCGGGAGGCAGCAGUGGGGAAUAUUGGACAAUGGGCGCAAGCCUGAUCCAGCCAUACCGCGUGGGUGAAGAAGGCCUUCGGGUUGUAAAGCCCUUUUGUUGGGAAAGAAAAGCAGCAGGUUAAUACCCCGCUGUUCUGACGGUACCCAAAGAAUAAGCACCGGCUAACUUCGUG